UUCCCCGUGAUUACAAACAUUGCUGAAACCUGCCCACCCGAAAGCUUCGAGAUUGGCGUGGGGGCCGAUCGAGGAAAAGCUGACAACGGUGGGAACCAUGAUACAGAUUAUGAGAGAUGAGGGAU
rnacentral:sRNA from 15 species